AUCCUUCUGGUUCAUACAUGUGAUGAAUGGGUAUUCACGCGCCUGCGUGAGAUGUGCCGCCCACAUUUCUUGUUACGCACAGGUACAUUACCCAUCUGAAA